rnacentral:rRNA from 1 species
UCGAGCGAGAAAGCACUUCGGUGUGAGUACAGCGGCGGACGGGUGAGUAACGCGUAGGAAUCUACCCAGUAGUGGGGGACAACUUGGGGAAACUCAAGCUAAUACCGCAUACGCCCUACGGGGGAAAGCGGGGGACCUUCGGGCCUCGCGCUAUUGGAUGAGCCUGCGUUGGAUUAGCUAGUUGGUGGGGUAAAAGCCUACCAAGGCGACGAUCCAUAGCUGGUCUGAGAGGAUGAUCAGCCACACUGGAACUGAGACACGGUCCAGACUCCUACGGGAGGCAGCAGUGGGGAAUAUUGCGCAAUGGGCGAAAGCCUGACGCAGCCAUGCCGCGUGUGUGAAGAAGGCCCUAGGGUUGUAAAGCACUUUCAAUUGGGAAGAAAAGCUGCAGGUUAAUAACCUGUAGCCCUGACAUUACC